UACGUAGGUGGCAAGCGUUGUCCGGAGUUAUUGGGCGUAAAGCGCGCGCAGGCGGUGCGGUAAGUCUCUGGUGAAAGCGCUCGGCUUAACUGGGCGAGGGCCGGGGAGACUGCCACGCUGGAGGGGAGCAGAGGCGAGUGGAAUUCCGGGUGUAGCGGUGAAAUGCGCAGAUAUCAGGAGGAACACCGGUGGCGAAGGCGGUUCUCUGGGCCUGUACUGACGCUGAGGAGCGAAAGCGUGGGGAGCGAACAGG
rnacentral:rRNA from 1 species